AGCGGCGGACGGGUGAGUAACACGUGGGUAACCUGCCCAAGAGACUGGGAUAACACCUGGAAACAGAUGCUAAUACCGGAUAACAACACUAGACGCAUGUCUAGAGUUUGAAAGAUGGUUCUGCUAUCACUCUUGGAUGGACCUGCGGUGCAUUAGCUAGUUGGUAAGGUAACGGCUUACCAAGGCAAUGAUGCAUAGCCGAGUUGAGAGACUGAUCGGCCACAUUGGGACUGAGACACGGCCCAAACUCCUACGGGAGGCAGCAGUAGGGAAUCUUCCACAAUGGACGAAAGUCUGAUGGAGCAACGCCGCGUGAGUGAAGAAGGGUUUCGGCUCGUGAAGCUCUAUUGGUAGUGAAGAAAGAUAGAGGUAGUAACUGGCCUUUAUUUGACGGUAAUUACUUAGAAAGUCACGGCUAACUACGUGCCAGCAGCCGCGGUAAUACGUAGGUGGCAAGCGUUGUCCGGAUUUAUUGGGCGUAAAGCGAGUGCAGGCGGUUCAAUAAGUCUGAUGUGAAAGCCUUCGGCUCAACCGGAGAAUUGCAUCAGAAACUGUUGAACUUGAGUGCAGAAGAGGAGAGUGGAACUCCAUGUGUAGCGGUGGAAUGCGUAGAUAUAUGGAAGAACACCAGUGGCGAAGGCGGCUCUCUGGUCUGCAACUGACGCUGAGGCUCGAAAGCAUGGGUAGCGAACAGGAUUAGAUACCCUGGUAGUCCAUGCCGUAAACGAUGAGUGCUAAGUGU
rnacentral:rRNA from 1 species